AAUUUUGUUCCCAUAUUGUCUCCACUCGAAUCAAAUGCUUUCGUUUUUCAUCACUCUCUGCUUCGCGACCACUUCCAUAGGGUACGACUUCAGGUUCGACAGUGGUUGAAACAUCUGAAGAUAUCCGACUCGCUGUAUCGUCGAAAUACUCGCUGGGAGUUAGGU